GCCGCGCUAGCUCAGUCGGUAGAGCAGCCGAUUUGUAAUCGGCAGGUCGCGGGUUCGAAUCCUGCGCGCGGCACCA
rnacentral:tRNA from 2 species